rnacentral:rRNA from 1 species
GACGAACGCUGGCGGCGUGCCUAAUACAUGCAAGUAGAACGCUGAAGGCGGAGCUUGCUUCUCCGGAUGAGUUGCGAACGGGUGAGUAACGCGUAGGUAACCUGCCUGUUAGCGGGGGAUAACUAUUGGAAACGAUAGCUAAUACCGCAUAACAGUAGAUGUUGCAUGACAUUUGCUUAAAAGGUUCAAUGGCUUCACUACCAGAUGGACCUGCGUUGUAUUAGCUAGUUGGUGAGGUAACGGCUCACCAAGGCGACGAUACAUAGCCGACCUGAGAGGGUGAUCGGCCACACUGGGACUGAGACACGGCCCAGAGUCCUACGGGAGGCAGCAGUAGGGAAUCUUCGGGAAUGGGCGGAAGUCUGACCGAGCAACGCCGCGUGAGUGAAGAAGGUUGUCGGAUCGUAAAGCUCUGUUGUAAGAGAAGAACGAGUGUGAGAGUGGAAAGUUCACACUGUGACGGUAUCUUACCAGAAAGGGACGGCUAACUACGUG